rnacentral:rRNA from 1 species
GAUGAACGCUGGCGGCGUGCCUAAUACAUGCAAGUCGAGCGAACAGACGAGGAGCUUGCUCCUCUGACGUUAGCGGCGGACGGGUGAGUAACACGUGGAUAACCUACCUAUAAGACUGGGAUAACUUCGGGAAACCGGAGCUAAUACCGGAUAAUAUAUUGAACCGCAUGGUUCAAUAGUGAAAGACGGUUUUGCUGUCACUUAUAGAUGGAUCCGCGCCGCAUUAGCUAGUUGGUAAGGUAACGGCUUACCAAGGCAACGUUGCGUAGCCGACCUGAGAGGGGGAUCGGCCAAACUGGAACGGGAAAACGGUCCAGACUCCUACGGAAGGAAGCAGAAGGGAAUCUUGGGAAAUGGGCGAAAGCCUAACGGAGCAACGCGGCGGGGGGGAUGAAGGUCUUCGGAUGUAAAAACUCGGUGAUUAGGGAGGAAGAGAGGGGGAAGGGACAGUGCACGUCUUGACGGUACCUAAUCAGAAAGCCACGGCUAACUACGUG